ACUCCUACGGGAGGCAGCAGUGGGGAAUAUUGCACAAUGGGCGCAAGCCUGAUGCAGCCAUGCCGCGUGUGUGAAGAAGGCCUUCGGGUUGUAAAGCACUUUCAGUCGUGAGGAAGGUAGUGUAGUUAAUAGCUGCAGUAUUUGUACGUUAGCGACAGAAGAAGCACCGGCUAACUCCGUGCCAGCAGCCGCGGUAAUACGGAGGGUGCGAGCGUUAAUCGGAAUUACUGGGCGUAAAGCGCAUGCAGGUGGUUUGUUAAGUCAGAUGUGAAAGCCCCGGGCUCAACCUCGGAAUAGCAUUUGAAACUGGCAGACUAGAGUACUGUAGAGGGGGUAGGAAUUUCAGGUGUAGCGGUGAAAUGCGUAGAGAUCUGAAGGAAUACCGGUGGCGAAGGCGGCCCCCGUGGACAGAUACUGACACUCAGAUGCGAAAGCGUGGGAGCAAACAGGAUUAGAUACCCCGUGGUAGACUGUCA
rnacentral:rRNA from 1 species